rnacentral:rRNA from 1 species
UACGGAGGGCGCGAGCGUUACCCGGAUUUACUGGGCGUAAAGGGCGUGUAGGCGGCUUGGGGCGUCCCAUGCGAAAGGCCACGGCUCAACCGUGGAGGAGCGUGGGAUACGCUCAGGCUAGACGGUGGGAGUGGGUGGUGGAAUUCCCGGAGUAGCGGUGAAAUGCGCAGAUACCGGGAGGAACGCCGAUGGCGAAGGCAGCCACCUGGCUCACUUGUGACGCUGAGGCGCGAAAGCGUGGGGAGCAAACAGG